rnacentral:rRNA from 1 species
CGAUUACUAGCGAUUCCAGCUUCAUGUAGUCGAGUUGCAGACUACAAUCCGAACUGGGACUGGGUUUUUGUGAUUUGCUUAACGUCGCCGUCUUGCGUCACUUUGUUACCAGCCAUUGUAGCACGUGUGUAGCCCAAGACAUAAGGGGCAUGAUGAUUUGACGUCAUCCCCACCUUCCUCCGUGUUAUCCACGGCAGUCUCUCCAGAGUGCCCAACUGAAUGAUGGCUACUGAAGAUAAGGGUUGCGCUCGUUGCGGGACUUAACCCAACAUCUCACGACACGAGCUGACGACAACCAUGCACCACCUGUCACCGAUGCUCCGAAGAGAAGUCCUAUCUCUAGGACGGUCAUCGGGAUGUCAAGCCUUGGUAAGGUUCUUCGCGUUGCUUCGAAUUAAACCACAUGCUCCACCGCUUGUGCGGGCCCCCGUCAAUUCCUUUGAGUUUCAACCUUGCGGUCGUACUCCCCAGGUGGAGUGCUUAUUGCGUUAGCUGCGGC